rnacentral:rRNA from 1 species
UACGGAGGGGGCUAGCGUUGUUCGGAAUUACUGGGCGUAAAGCGCACGUAGGCGGCUUUGUAAGUUAGAGGUGAAAGCCCAGGGCUCAACCCUGGAAUUGCCUUUAAGACUGCAUCGCUUGAACAUCGGAGAGGUAAGUGGAAUUCCGAGUGUAGAGGUGAAAUUCGUAGAUAUUCGGAAGAACACCAGUGGCGAAGGCGACUUACUGGACGAUUGUUGACGCUGAGGUGCGAAAGCGUGGGGAGCGAACAGG